ACAGGCAAGCUAUUGCAGCAAAAUCAAAGCUAGGAGUAACAAAGUACCGCUGGAAGUCUUUGAUGUAAUUCAAUUUUAAGAAGAUUUUAAAAAUAUAAUCGAGCCCUUACAAUAGCUCAGUAAUGGUGUGGGAAGUGAGCAAGAGAAAUCUAUUGCACAACCAGGGAUGCAUCCGUUAUCCUGCGUCAAAGUUUUGAAACAGUUGUUGAACUAAAGAACUUUGCCCUUCAAAUCCCAGCCACCUAGCUUCACUGCACUCAGAUCUUUGUCUUCUUAACCCAGCAAGACAUUCAUGCUGUGUUUUGGAUCCCCUCCCUGCACCAUGGCCUGGAUAGAUCCUUCAGUAGAAAGUUGGGAAGAUUGUAGGAACCACCUUAUUUGUUUCCCUUUCUUUAGGGAUCAGCAUCCUAUGUCACCUGUUGUCUAAUAUCUGAUCAUAGUUUUAAAAUAUAUUUUGUUCCUUUUUCUGUUUCUUUUGUUUUUACUGUGAGAGGGUAAGUUCUUUAUUAUAAUCAGAGGUAGAAUUUCAGUGCCCUACAUUUUGUUGUUGUUUAAAACCAAUUGAGUUAGGCACAGUGUCUGAUCCUGCACUCUUUGGAUAGAGUGAAUAAAACACUGCAUGAAUGAAUAAAGCACUGGGUGUUUUUUCUAAUUGAGGGGCAAUAUGUGCCAUCUUAUUUGAAAGAAGCCAUAAAUAAACAUCCAUUCAUCAACUGGAUAGUCACUGAAUCCGAAACCACGUUGGUCAAGUGACAAGACUUAGGAACAUGACUAGGAUCCCUU
rnacentral:lncRNA from 10 species